GGGAGGUGAAUAAUAUCAUUCCUGUAUAAAAGAAAUCUGCAGAACAUCCCGACACUCCGAUUUCAUCAGCAGAGAAGAGAGAAGUUUCCCCCGUGUCUCCAUACAGAUCUCGGUCGCUAUGAAGUUUUACGCAAGUUUACUGCUUUUGUUCUUCAUACCAGCACUUCAAUGCCAGAACCUCCCAAGACCACCAUCUCCUCCGUGUACAACCGUGAAACACAGCAGUGAAAAUCGGGGCGGAGCCUGCCCGGUGUCCUGCCUCCCCAAUCCGCCUGUUCCCAGACCGUGUCCUAAGAUUUUAUUGGACGCCUGUUAUUGUGAUGAGGGGUAUAUUUUUAAAUCCGACGAAUAUACAGAAUGCAUUUCAAACGAGGAAUGUAAGAUCCUCCAAUCCAAAAAUGGUAAAUAAAAAAUCAAUUACCUAUAUUGUGAAACGAUCGGAUCAAAAGAAUAAUUCGGAAAUCAAUUCCUGUUUAUUAAAUCUGUGGUCAAUAAAAAAAAAUAUAUAUAUUA